GACGAAGGGGGCUAGCGUUGUUCGGAAUUACUGGGCGUAAAGCGCGUGUAGGCGGUUGUCCAAGUCGGGUGUGAAAGCCUUGAGCUCAACUCAAGAAAUGCACUCGAUACUGGGCGACUCGAGUGCCGGAGAGGAUAGUGGAAUUCCCAGUGUAGUGGUGAAAUACGUAGAUAUCGGGAGGAACACCAGUGGCGAAGGCGACUACCUGGCCUGUUCUUGACGCUGAGGCGCGAAAGCUAGGGGAGCAAACGGG
rnacentral:rRNA from 1 species